CAACGGGUCAGCUAAGUAUAAGCUAUUGGGCUCAUAACUCAACAAUGGAAUAUUCCCCCGUUGA
rnacentral:tRNA from 2 species